rfam:Wickerhamomyces anomalus NRRL Y-366-8 unplaced genomic scaffold WICANscaffold_2, whole genome shotgun sequence.
GGCACUUUGGCCGAGUGGUUAAGGCGAAAGACUUGAAUUAUUCAGGGUAUCUUUUGGGAUUUUCCCGCGCAGGUUCGAGUCCUGCAGGUGUCG